GACGAACGCUGGCGGCGUGCUUAACACAUGCAAGUCGAACGGAAAGGCCCUUCGGGGUACUCGAGUGGCGAACGGGUGAGUAACACGUGGGUGAUCUGCCCUGCACUUUGGGAUAAGCCUGGGAAACUGGGUCUAAUACCGAAUAGGACCACGCGCUUCAUGGUGUGUGGUGGAAGGCUUUUGCGGUGUGGGAUGGGCCCGCGGCCUAUCAGCUUGUUGGUGGGGUAAUGGCCUACCAAGGCGACGACGGGUAGCCGGCCUGAGAGGGUGACCGGCCACACUGGGACUGAGAUACGGCCCAGACUCCUACGGGAGGCAGCAGUGGGGAAUAUUGCACAAUGGGCGCAAGCCUGAUGCAGCGACGCCGCGUGAGGGAUGACGGCCUUCGGGUUGUAAACCUCUUUCAAUAGGGACGAAGCGCAAGUGACGGUACCUAUAGAAGAAGCACCGGCCAACUACGUG
rnacentral:rRNA from 1 species